rnacentral:rRNA from 1 species
UACGUAGGGACCGAGCGUUGUCCGGAAUCAUUGGGCGUAAAGAGCUCGUAGGCGGUUUGUCGCGUCGUUCGUGAAAACUCACAGCUUAACUGUGAGCUUGCGGUCGAUACGGGCAGGCUAGAGUUCGGUAGGGGAGACUGGAAUUCCUGGUGUAGCGGUGAAAUGCGCAGAUAUCAGGAGGAACACCGGUGGCGAAGGCGGGUCUCUGGGCCGAUACUGACGCUGAGGAGCGAAAGCGUGGGGAGCGAACAGG